AUACUUACCUGGCAGGGGAGACACCAUGAUCAAGAAGGUGGUUCACCCAGGGUCCUUAAUGUUUGUUCUGGUUUAGAGUAUUAAACAGAACAACAAUGUCGGCCUCUUUGGUGCGAAGGAAUACAGUCCCUUUU
ensembl:snRNA U1 U1 spliceosomal RNA